UAGGGAAUCUUCGGCAAUGGGGGGAACCCUGACCGAGCAACGCCGCGUGAGUGAAGAAGGUUUUCGGAUCGUAAAGCUCUGUUGUUAAGGAAGAACGAGUGUGAGAAUGGAAAGUUCAUGCUGUGACGGUACUUAACCAGAAAGGGACGGCUAACUACGUGCCAGCAGCCGCGGUAAUACGUAGGUCCCGAGCGUUGUCCGGAUUUAUUGGGCGUAAAGCGAGCGCAGGCGGUUAGAAAAGUCUGAAGUGAAAGGCAGUGGCUCAACCAUUGUAGGCUUUGGAAACUGUUUAACUUGAGUGCAGAAGGGGAGAGUGGAAUUCCAUGUGUAGCGGUGAAAUGCGUAGACAUAUGGAGGAACACCGGUGGCGAAAGCGGCUCUCUGGUCUAUAACUGACGCUGAGGCUAGAAAGCGUGGGGAGCGAACAGG
rnacentral:rRNA from 1 species